rnacentral:rRNA from 1 species
UACGUAGGGUGCAAGCGUUAAUCGGAAUUACUGGGCGUAAAGCGUGCGCAGGCGGUUGUGCAAGACCGAUGUGAAAUCCCCGGGCUUAACCUGGGAAUGGCAUUGGUGACUGCACGGCUAGAGUGUGUCAGAGGGGGGUAGAAUUCCACGUGUAGCAGUGAAAUGCGUAGAUAUGCGGAGGAACACCGAUGGCGAAGGCAAUCCCCUGGGCCUGCACUGACGCUCAUGCACGAAAGCGUGGGGAGCGAACAGG